rnacentral:rRNA from 1 species
AGCAGCCGCGGUAAUUCCAGCUCCAAUAGCGUAUAUUAAAGUUGCUGCAGUUAAAAAGCUCGUAGUUGAAUUUCGGGAUCAAUAUGUUGGUCGUGCCUCGGUACGUACUAGCUUAUUGGUUUCUCCCUUCUGACGAACCAUGAUGUCAUCUAUUUGGUGUUAUGGGAAAUCAGGACUGUUACUUUGAAAAAAUUAGAGCGUUUAAAGCAGGCUCACGCUUGAAUACAUUAGCAUGGAAUAAUGAAAUAGGACGUUUGAUUCUAUUUUGUUGGUUUCUAGGAUCGACGUAAUGAUUAAUAGGGAUAGUUGGGGGCAUUAGUAUUCAAUUGUCAGAGGUGAAAUUCUUGGAUUUAUUGAAGACUAACUACUGCGAAAGCAUUUGCCAAGGAUGUUUUCAUUAAUCAAGAACGAAAGUUAGGGGAUCGAAGACGAUCAGAUACCGUCGUAGUCUUAACCAUAAACUAUGCCGACUAGGGAUCGGAGGAUGUUAAUUUUUAAUGACUCAUUCGGCGCCUUAAC